rnacentral:rRNA from 1 species
UACGUAUGGAGCAAGCGUUAUCCGGAUUUACUGGGUGUAAAGGGAGCGUAGGCGGCCCUGUAAGUCUGAUGUGAAAAUUUGGGGCUCAACCCCAAACGUGCAUUGGAAACUGCAGGGCUUGAGUGCCGGAGAGGCAGGCGGAAUUCCUAGUGUAGCGGUGAAAUGCGUAGAUAUUAGGAGGAACACCAGUGGCGAAGGCGGCCUGCUGGACGGUAACUGACGCUGAGGCUCGAAAGCGUGGGGAGCAAACAGG